rnacentral:rRNA from 1 species
CUACGGGUGGCAGCAGUGGGGAAUAUUGCACAAUGGGGGAAACCCUGAUGCAGCAACGCCGCGUGAAGGAAGAAGGCUCUUGGGUUGUAAACUUCUUUGAAUGGGGACGAAACAAAUGACGGUACCCAUAAAACAAGCCACGGCUAACUACGUGCCAGCAGCCGCGGUAAUACGUAGGUGGCAAGCGUUAUCCGGAAUUACUGGGUGUAAAGGGCGUGUAGGCGGGAGAGCAAGUCAGAUGUGAAAUGCCAAGGCUUAACCAUGGAACUGCAUCUGAAACUGUUUUUCUUGAGUACUGGAGAGGAAAGUGGAAUUCCUAGUGUAGCGGUGAAAUGCGUAGAGAUUAGGAGGAACACCAGUGGCGAAGGCGGCUUUCUGGACAGUAACUGACGCUGAGGCGCGAAAGCGUGGGGAGCAAACAGGAUUAGAUACCCUAGUAGUC